rnacentral:rRNA from 1 species
UACGAAGGGUGCAAUCGUUACUCGGAAUUACUGGGCGUAAAGCGUGCGUAGGCGGUUUGUUAAGUCAGAUGUGAAAGCCCCGGGCUCAACCUGGGAACUGCAUUUGAUACUGGCGAGCUAGAGUACGGUAGAGGGUGGUGGAAUUCCCGGUGUAGCGGUGAAAUGCGUAGAGAUCGGGAGGAACAUCUGUGGCGAAGGCGGCCACCUGGACCAGUACUGACGCUGAGGCACGAAAGCGUGGGGAGAAAACAGG